GGAUUACCUCAGUAACGGCGAGUGAAGCGGUAACAGCUCAAAUUUGAAAUCUGGCCUCACGGUCCGAGUUGUAAUUUGUAGAGGAUGCUUCGAGCAUGGUCUGGCCUAAGUUCCUUGGAACAGGACGUCAUAGAGGGUGAGAAUCCCGUAUGCGGCCAGGUGCCUACGCUCAUGUGAAGCUCCUUCGACGAGUCGAGUUGUUUGGGAAUGCAGCUCAAAAUGGGUGGUAAAUUUCAUCUAAAGCUAAAUAUUGGCCAGAGACCGAUAGCGCACAAGUAGAGUGAUCGAAAGAUGAAAAGCACUUUGGAAAGAGAGUUAAACAGUACGUGAAAUUGUUGAAAGGGAAGCGCUUGCAACCAGACUUGCGCGCGGCCGAUCAUCCGGUGUUCUCACCGGUGCACUCGGCCGUGCUCAGGCCAGCAUCGGUUUUGGCGGCUGGAUAAAGGCCCUAGGAAUGUAGCUCCUCUCGGGGAGUGUUAUAGCCUAGGGUGCAAUGCAGCCUGCUGGGACCGAGGACCGCGCUUCGGCUAGGAUGCUGGCGUAAUGGUUGUAAGCGGCCC
rnacentral:rRNA from 2 species